rnacentral:rRNA from 1 species
UACGUAGGGUACAAGCAUUAAUCGGAAUUAUUGGGCGUAAAGGGCGCGUAGGCGGGAAUGUAAGUCAGGUGUGAAAUACCAAAGCUCAACUUUGGUGCUGCAUUUGAAACUGCAUUUCUUGAGGACUGACGGAGAAAGCGGAAUUCCAUGUGUAGCGGUGAAAUGCGUAGAUACAUGGAGGAACACCGGUGGCGAAAGCGGCUUUCUAGUUUUUACCUGACGCUGAGGCGCGAGAGCAAGGGGAGCAAAC